rnacentral:rRNA from 1 species
UACGUAGGCAGCCAGCGUUGUUCGGAGUUACUGGGCGUAAAGAGGAUGUAGGCGGUUGGGGAAGUUUGGGGUGAAAUCUCCCGGCUUAACUGGGAGGGUGCGCUAAAGACUGCCUGGCUCGAGUGUGGGAGAGGAAAGCGGAAUUCCUGGUGUAGCGGUGAAAUGCGUAGAUAUCAGGAGGAACACCUGCGGUGUAGACGGCUUUCUGGACCAUAACUGACGCUGAGAUACGAAAGCGUGGGUAGCAAACAGG